rnacentral:rRNA from 1 species
GGCGGCAGGCUUAACACAUGCAAGUCGAGCGGGCGAGGUUGCUUCGGUAACUGAGCUAGCGGCGGACGGGUGAGUAAUGCUUAGGAAUCUGCCUAUUAGUGGGGGACAACAUUCCGAAAGGAAUGCUAAUACCGCAUACGCCCUACGGGGGAAAGCAGGGGAUCUUCGGACCUUGCGCUAAUAGAUGAGCCUAAGUCAGAUUAGCUAGUUGGUGGGGUAAAGGCCUACCAAGGCGACGAUCUGUAGCGGGUCUGAGAGGAUGAUCCGCCACACUGGGACUGAGACACGGCCCAGACUCCUACGGGAGGCAGCAGUGGGGAAUAUUGGACAAUGGGCGCAAGCCUGAUCCAGCCAUGCCGCGUGUGUGAAGAAGGCCUUUUGGUUGUAAAGCACUUUAAGCGAGGAGGAGGCUACUUGGAUUAAUACUCUAGGAUAGUGGACGUUACUCGCAGAAUAAGCACCGGCUAACUCUGUGCCAGCAGCCGCGGUAAUACAGAGGGUGCGAGCGUUAAUCGGAUUUACUGGGCGUAAAGCGUGCGUAGGCGGCUUCUUAAGUCGGAUGUGAAAUCCCUGAGCUUAACUUAGGAAUUGCAUUCGAUACUGGGAAGCUAGAGUAUGGGAGAGGAUGGUAGAAUUCCAGGUGUAGCGGUGAAAUGCGUAGAGAUCUGGAGGAAUACCGAUGGCGAAGGCAGCCAUCUGGCCUAAUACUGACGCUGAGGUACGAAAGCAUGGGGAGCAAACAGGAUUAGAUACCCUGGUAGUCCAUGCCGUAAACGAUGUCUACUAGCCGUUGGGGCCUUUGAGGCUUUAGUGGCGCAGCUAACGCGAUAAGUAGACCGCCUGGGGAGU